rnacentral:rRNA from 1 species
GCGGCAAUAGCUCAAAUUUGAAAUCUGGCUUCGGCCCGAGUUGUAAUUUGUAGAGGAUGCUUCGGCUUACGCACCGGUCUAAGUUCCUUGGAACAGGACGUCACAGAGGGUGAGAAUCCCGUUUGUGGCCGGUGCUUUCGCCAUGUGAAGCUCCUUCGACGAGUCGAGUUGUUUGGGAAUGCAGCUCUAAAUGGGAGGUAAAUUUCUUCUAAAGCUAAAUACCGGCCAGAGACCGAUAGCGCACAAGUAGAGUGAUCGAAAGAUGAAAAGCACUUUGGAAAGAGAGUUAAAAAGUACGUGAAAUUGUUGAAAGGGAAGCGCUUGCGACCAGACUUGCCCGCGGAUGCUCAACCGGUCCUUCGGCCGGUGCACUCUUCCGCGGUCAGGCCAGCAUCAGUUCGGGCGGUCGGAUAAAGGCCUUGGGAAUGUGGCUCUCUUCGGGGAGUGUUAUAGCCCUUGGUGUAAUACGGCCUGCCUGGACUGAGGCCCGCGCUUCUGCUAGGAUGCUGGCGUAAUGGUCGUAAGCGGCCCGUCUUG